rnacentral:rRNA from 1 species
GACGAACGCUGGCGGCGUGCCUAAUACAUGCAAGUCGAACGAACCGCGACUGAGUGCUUGCACUUGGUCAAGGUGAGUGGCGAACGGGUGAGUAACACGUGGGUAACCUACCUCAUAGUGGGGGAUAACAGUCGGAAACGACUGCUAAUACCGCAUAGGACAUAGGAUCACAUGAUCCAGUGAGGAAAGGUGGCGCAAGCUAUCGCUAAGAGAUGGACCCGCGGUGCAUUAGCUAGUUGGUAGGGUAAAGGCCUACCAAGGCGAUGAUGCAUAGCCGACCUGAGAGGGUGAACGGCCACAUUGGGACUGAGACACGGCCCAAACUCCUACGGGAGGCAGCAGUAGGGAAUCUUCCGCAAUGGACGCAAGUCUGACGGAGCAACGCCGCGUGAGUGAAGAAGGUCUUCGGAUCGUAAAGCUCUGUUGUUAGAGAAGAACAGCGCAUAGAGUAACUGCUAUGCGUGUGACGGUAUCUAACCAGAAAGCCACGGCUAACUACGUG